UAGGGAAUCUUCCACAAUGGACGCAAGUCUGAUGGAGCAACGCCGCGUGAGUGAAGAAGGGUUUCGGCUCGUAAAGCUCUGUUGGUAGUGAAGAAAGAUAGAGGUAGUAACUGGCCUUUAUUUGACGGUAAUUACUUAGAAAGUCACGGCUAACUACGUGCCAGCAGCCGCGGUAAUACGUAGGUGGCAAGCGUUGUCCGGAUUUAUUGGGCGUAAAGCGAGUGCAGGCGGUUCAAUAAGUCUGAUGUGAAAGCCUUCGGCUCAACCGGAGAAUUGCAUCAGAAACUGUUGAACUUGAGUGCAGAAGAGGAGAGUGGAACUCCAUGUGUAGCGGUGGAAUGCGUAGAUAUAUGGAAGAACACCAGUGGCGAAGGCGGCUCUCUGGUCUGCAACUGACGCUGAGGCUCGAAAGCAUGGGUAGCGAACAGGAUUAGAUACCCUGGUAGUCCAUGCCGUAAACGAUGAGUGCUAAGUGUUGGGAGGUUUCCGCCUCUCAGUGCUGCAGCUAACGCAUUAAGCACNGNGCCUGGGGAGUACGACCGCAAGGUUG
rnacentral:rRNA from 1 species